AAUGUGGUUAAUGAUGCUCAACUUUUUUCCCCGUCUUAUCGACCAUGGUGAACUCUGACUGAAUCAAAGCCAAUUUUGUCUGAAACCACAUU
ensembl:snoRNA